rnacentral:rRNA from 1 species
UACGAAGGGGGCUAGCGUUGUUCGGAUUUACUGGGCGUAAAGCGCACGUAGGCGGAUCUUUAAGUCAGAGGUGAAAUCCCAAGGCUCAACCUUGGAACUGCCUUUGAUACUGGGGAUCUUGAGUCCGGGAGAGGUGUGUGGAACUCCGAGUGUAGAGGUGAAAUUCGUAGAUAUUCGGAAGAACACCAGUGGCGAAGGCGACACACUGGCCCGUUACUGACGCUGAGGCGCGAAAGCGUGGGGAGCAAACAGG